AAAGAUUAAGCCAUGCAUGUCUGAGUAUAAGCAAUUAUACAGCGAAACUGCGAAUGGCUCAUUAUAUAAGUUAUCGUUUAUUUGAUAGUACCUUACUACUUGGAUAACCGUGGUAAUUCUAGAGCUAAUACAUGCUGAAAAUCCCGACUUCGGAAGGGAUGUAUUUAUUAGAUUAAAAACCAAUGCCCUUCUGGGCUCUCUGGUGAUUCAUGAUAACUUCUCGAAUCGCACGGCCUCGCGCCGGCGAUGGUUCAUUCAAAUUUCUUCCCUAUCAACUUUCGAUGUUUGGGUAGUGGCCAAACAUGGUUGCAACGGGUAACGGAGGGUUAGGGCUCGACCCCGGAGAAGGAGCCUGAGAAACGGCUACUACAUCCAAGGAAGGCAGCAGGCGCGCAAAUUACCCAAUCCCGACACGGGGAGGUAGUGACAAUAAAUACUGAUACAGGGCUCUUUCGGGUCUUGUAAUUGGAAUGAGUACAAUUUAAAUCCCUUAACGAGGAACAAUUGGAGGGCAAGUCUGGUGAACAGUUGCUGGUGCCAGAGAGAGCUACCCCUCGUCGAAACCCCCAAAGUAGCUAGUCGAGCGCUCAAUCUGUGACGGGUGAGCGCCGGCGAGACAACCUGGAUCGGGGAAGGCUAAGGGCCCCCAAGACGGGGGGGCCUAUGCUGAUCCCGAGCAGAGCCUGCGCUUCCCGGAAGCGCAGGCCUGCGUAGAGCGCGCCAAGGUGUCGGUCCGAGGAUGGGGGUGGAGGUUUCUCCCCCAUACCGAGGGCUUAAGGUACGUGCCAAUCCCUCGCGAAAGCGAGGCCCCGCGGAUCAGCACCCGUCGUGCGAAGCCGCGGGGGGACCUGCCCGCCCGGGCAGGCCGUCAGACAGUGGCCAGCAGCCGCGGUAAUUCCAGCUCCAAUAGCGUAUAUUAAAGUUGUUGUGGUUAAAAAGCUCGUAGUUGAACCUUGGGCCUGGCUGGCCGGUCCGCCUCACCGCGUGUACUGGUCCGGCCGGGCCUUUCCCUCUGUGGAACCCCAUGCCCUUCACUGGGCGUGGCGGGGAAACAGGACGUUUACUUUGAAAAAAUUAGAGUGCUCCAGGCAGGCCUAUGCUCGAAUACAUUAGCAUGGAAUAAUGAAAUAGGACGCGCGGUUCUAUUUUGUUGGUUUCUAGGACCGCCGUAAUGAUUAAUAGGGACAGUCGGGGGCAUCAGUAUUCAAUUGUCAGAGGUGAAAUUCUUGGAUUUAUUGAAGACUAACUACUGCGAAAGCAUUUGCCAAGGAUGUUUUCAUUAAUCAGGAACGAAAGUUAGGGGAUCGAAGACGAUCAGAUACCGUCGUAGUCUUAACCAUAAACUAUGCCGACUAGGGAUCGGACGAUGUUAUUUUUUGACUCGUUCGGCACCUUACGAGAAAUCAAAGUGCUUGGGCUCCAGGGGGAGUAUGGUCGCAAGGCUGAAACUUAAAGAAAUUGACGGAAGGGCACCACCAGGGGUUAACCUGCACUGUGAUCUAAGCCGCAGUCAACUCUGCUCCUGACAGCCGCCCGUAAGGGUUGGUGGUGUUUCCUCGGGCGCCCAAGCCGGCGCCCGGAACGAAAGGCUAGUCUCCGCCCCGGCGGAGGCGACACCCUCAAACUGACGGGGACACCCUAAAGCUCCCGCUCCAAAGCCGACGCGGCGAAAGCCGUCGGUGGCCAGGCUAACAGCCUCGGGUACUGGAACAGCGCGGUGAGAUGCGACAAUGGGCGAUCCGCAGCCAAGCCCCUACGUGCCCGCGCGCAUACGGGGAAGGUUCAGAGACUUGACGGGGGUGGGUAGGCCGCCUGGCCUGCUUAAGAUAAAGUCCGUCCCCCCGCGAGAGCGGAGGAGGCCCCCCUUUCAACCGAAAGGCAGACGGGAGCCUGCGGCUUAAUUUGACUCAACACGGGGAAACUCACCAGGUUGACUUUGUCUGGGCCUGGAAAAGUCGGGCGCUCGCCGCACAGGCGGGCGCCGCGGCUAGUAUCGAGCUUCACUCCGCGUGGGGGAGCCCCCUCGUCGGGCGCGGAGACGGCCAACCCCGGGAACCCCCCGGGGGCGCGCCGUUGCUCGAUGCGACACCAGCUGGUACAGGGAACGCCUUCGCAGGCCGAUCCUGUGGCGAGCUCGGGUUGCGCCGAGCCGCUGCAACGCGCGCUAAGCGGUGGGCUGGAAGGGUGAGGUGAAAGGCCCCCCUUCCGGCUUAAGGUACGUGCUAAUCCCACAGGGAACUGUGGCCUCUCUGACCAGGUCCGACUCACCGAAGCAGAGAGGGCGGCGCCCAGCGAGAGCUGGCGCCGCGUGCGGGCUCCUUGCCGCGUCAGGGAGCCCGCGAUGCCAGACACAAUGAGGAUUGACAGAUUGAGAGCUCUUUCUUGAUUUUGUGGGUGGUGGUGCAUGGCCGUUCUUAGUUGGUGGAGUGAUUUGUCUGCUUAAUUGCGAUAACGAACGAGACCUUAACCUGCUAAAUAGCCCGUAUUGCUUUGGCAGUACGCUGGCUUCUUAGAGGGACUAUCGGCUCAAGCCGAUGGAAGUUUGAGGCAAUAACAGGUUGGCGCGAUAUGCCACAACAUAUCACAGGCCUGUCACAGUAGCGAAGCCUCGUUAAACAUUUUGACUGCUAGUCCAGCGACUUUACCUCCGUUGGGGAAGCUCCCCUACUGUCGGGCGGAAUUGGGGGUCCCAUCGCGGACCUUGUCGCGGGCGACACCACCUGGAACAGGGAACGCCCUCACGGGCCGAUCCUGUGGCGAGCUCGGGUUGCGCCGAGCCGUCGCAACGCGCGCUAAGGGGUGGGCUGCGCCUACGGGCCGGCUUAAGGUACGUGCUAAUCCCAUGGGAGAUCGAAAACCAUGCCCCCCGCAGUGAGGCCCGACAGGUCAAGCUGCGGAGGGGGCGGACCGCCCUUCUUCUAGGGCGGGCUGCCGGCGCUCAAAUCGUCCCGCGGCCACGGUCCGGGCGAGCGAAAACUGCUGUGAUGCCCUUAGAUGUUCUGGGCCGCACGCGCGCUACACUGACGGAGCCAGCGAGUACUCCCUUGGCCGGAAGGCCCGGGUAAUCUUGUUAAACUCCGUCGUGCUGGGGAUAGAGCAUUGCAAUUAUUGCUCUUCAACGAGGAAUCCCUAGUAAGCGCAAGUCAUCAGCUUGCGUUGAUUACGUCCCUGCCCUUUGUACACACCGCCCGUCGCUACUACCGAUUGAAUGGCUCAGUGAGGCGUCCGGACUGGCCCAGGGAGGCGGGAAACUGCCACCCAGGGCCGGAAAGCUCUCCAAACUCGGUCAUUUAGAGGAAGUAAAAGUCGUAACAAGGUC
rnacentral:rRNA from 1 species